rnacentral:misc_RNA from 1 species
AUGCACUGGAAGAACUUAAAUUCUUCUCGAAAGAGCUGCGGAUCGUCGGGGUCUAUCCGGCGCAUCCGUUCCGCGUCGCAUUCACGGAAAAGGCAGCGGAAUAAGCAAACACGUGCGCUCGUCGCGCUGACGAACAGCCAAACGCAAAACGCCGUAACCACGCGCAUCCGGGAGGCAAUCGCCUAUGCUACGCAUUUGGG